GACACAGACGAGUUUCCGCGUUACACGCACGACCCAUAGACGAAAUAUUUUUAUUCUUCUUCUUAACUUUGAAAUAAAACGUCUAGCGUUUCUACACAGUUGUGGGGUGAGUGGCCUUGAUAUUCUUCUGUGGGCGUGAUUUAUUUACCCGCCAAACAGCAAGGAGUGGAGAGCAUGGAGAGAGCCUCGACAGCAGAGUUCACACGACGAGUCGACGACCACAUUUUUGGUCGUGUUAGUUCGUGUGGAGUGGGAUGGAUGAGUUGUUAUUUUUUUUACAAUAAAAAAAAAUAGGUAGGAAAUAAGUCAAAAUGAAAUAAGUUUAG